AGAACGAACGCUGGCGGCAGGCCUAACACAUGCAAGUCGAGCGGCCGUAGCGAUACGGCAGCGGCGCACGGGUGAGUAACGCGUGGGAACCUGCCCUUUGGUUUGGAACAACCCUGGGAAACUAGGGCUGAUACCGGAUACGCCCUGAGAGGGGGAAAGAUUUAUCGCCGAAGGAGGGGCCCGCGUCCGAUUAGCUAGUUGGUGGGGUAAAGGCCUACCAAGGCUUCGAUCGGUAGCCGGUCUGAGAGGACGAUCGGCCACACUGGGACUGAGACACGGCCCAGACUCCUACGGGAGGCAGCAGUGGGGAAUAUUGGACAAUGGGCGCAAGCCUGAUCCAGCCAUGCCGCGUGGGUGAUGAAGGCCUUCGGGUUGUAAAGCCCUUUUGGCGGGGACGAUGAUGACGGUACCCGCAGAAUAAGCCCGGCUAACUUCGUGCCAGCAGCCGC
rnacentral:rRNA from 1 species